rnacentral:rRNA from 1 species
UACGUAGGGGGCAAGCGUUGUCCGGAAUCAUUGGGCGUAAAGAGCGUGUAGGCGGCCAGCUAAGUCCGCUGUGAAAUCUCGAGGCUCAACUUCGAGCUGUCGGUGGGAACUGUCUGGCUAGAGUCCGGAGGAGGAGAAUGGAAUUCCUGGUGUAGCGGUGAAAUGCGCAGAUAUCAGGAGGAACACCGGUGGCGAAGGCGGGUCUCUGGGCCGAUACUGACGCUGAGGAGCGAAAGCGUGGGGAGCGAACAGG